rnacentral:rRNA from 1 species
UCCACGCCGUAAACGUUGUAUACUAGGUGUAGGUGGCUUGUCCAUUUGUGCCGAAGCUAACGUGUUAAGUAUACCGCCUGGGGAGUACGGUCGCAAGACUGAAACUCAAAGAAAUUGACGGGGGCCCGCACAAGCGGCGGAGCAUGUGGUUUAAUUCGAUGAUACGCGAAGAACCUUACCUGGGCUUGAACUGUAGUCGCAAGAUGCAGAGAUGCGUUGUUCCUUCGGGACGG